rnacentral:lncRNA from 1 species
UUAAAAAGCUUACUGGAGAGACAAAUGUAAACUAUAGCUAGGUGCGCUCACGUUAGACAGUUAUGUGCUGAAUCUAAUUUGAAAUGGAUAAGUGCUAACACAUUUAAUUUCCUGCAUACUCAGUGAGACAAUGUUCGUUUUUUUUUAAACAGUAAUUUUGAGUGAGCCUUUCAAAGUGCUUGAGUCAGCACCACUGCAAGAGUGUUUGGAAAGAUGAUCAUGCAAAUGGAACUUCAAGUGAUUUAAUAUGCUCACCAUCACAGGCUCAUGUGAGAGAGACAAAAGCCAUUCCAUGAGGCCCAAAAUUCAGUAAUGGAAGGAUCAGCAGUUCAGGCUUUUUACCAGGUUGUUUUAAAUGUUCAUAAAGGACAUCAAGAAACCAAAGUCCUGUUAGUUCAUGAUCCCUUUUCACAGGAGAAGUGUCCUAGAAUUUGUCCUGUGGUGACACUAAUUUUUGUUGUUGAAAUUUCUGCUGUUCCUGAUGUGUCAGGUAAGAGAGAUGUUAUCUCACUCGCUUUUCUGGUGAAAGCUCCAAUGUAUGUUGUCUUACAAAUCCAUGUUUUUACAAAAUCCAUAUUGAGAGAAGAGUCUAAGUCAGACAGUAACACUUGGUCCCCAUUCAGAACUCCGUGGCUGCCAGGCAGCCAUUCCUGUGUCUGUCUGGGAGGUGGACACUCUCUACGCACACCAGCAGCACACAGAUCUUAUGUACAGCUGCCAACACUGCUUUGCUAACCACAGGCUGGGUCUUUGAUGCUGUCUCAGCAGACAACAUUCUGAGCAGGGCUAUUUGGUGUCUUCUAAAUGCUGUAAAAUUACAGAUUAAUUUAUUGGUGCGUCUGUUCCAGGCUCACUGAGCAAACCAGAAGCUUUGGGAUACCUUUGUGGCCAGACAUUAUGGUAACAUUCUCCACUAGAGAAUGCAGGAGCCAGCACAAUUCUGUGUGGUUGGCAGGACAUACACAGAUGUAUCUGUGGUCUAAACCCAGUUCUGAGCCUGUUAUUUUUCUAACCUUGUGCAGCAGAAUGAUAAGCUGCACAGACAAAAUAGGCUCUGUGCUUCUCUGAGAGAAAAGGAGGAUAGGUUUCCUGCUGAGGAUGUAAGCCUUUGACUAUGACUGUAGUAGUGAAAUUUGCCUUUUCUCACAGUCCAGAAAAAAGUAAAAAAAAAAAAAGAAAAAAGAAAAAAAGAAAAAAAAAAGAAUAAUAGACAUUGAAAAAUGCACAUUAUUUCAAUAUAACUAAUACUUGAAGUAAGGUAAUAAAUAGAAAAACGUGUAAUUUGAAGGAAUAAGA